UGGGGAAUAUUGGACAAUGGGGGCAACCCUGAUCCAGCAAUGCCGCGUGUGUGAAGAAGGUCUUCGGAUUGUAAAGCACUUUCGACGGGGACGAUGAUGACGGUACCCGUAGAAGAAGCCCCGGCUAACUUCGUGCCAGCAGCCGCGGUAAUACGAAGGGGGCUAGCGUUGCUCGGAAUGACNUGGGCGUAAAGGGCGUGUAGGCGGUUUACACAGUCAGAUGUGAAAUCCCCGGGCUUAACCUGGGAGCUGCAUUUGAUACGUGUAGACUAGAGUGUGAGAGAGGGUUGUGGAAUUCCCAGUGUAGAGGNNGAAAUUCGUAGAUAU
rnacentral:rRNA from 1 species